CGGAUGCACUGGUCCGGCCGGGCCUUUCCCUCUGUGGAACCCCAUGCCCUUCACUGGGUGUGGUGGGGAAGCAGGACUUUUACUUUGAAAAAAUUAGAGUGCUCCAAGCAGGCCUAUGCUCGAAUACCUCAGCAUGGAAUAAUGGAAUAGGACGUGUGGUUCUAUUUCGUUGGUUUCUAGGACCGCCGUAAUGAUUAAUAGGGACAGUCGGGGGCAUCCGUAUUCAGUGGCUAGAGGUGAAAUUCUCAGAUUCUCUGAAGACGAACUACUGCGAAAGCAUUUGCCAAGGAUGUUUUCAUUGAUAAGGAACGAAAGUUGGGGGAUCGAAGACGAUCAGAUACCGUCGUAGUCUCAACUAUAAACUAUGCCAACUAGGGAUCGGACGAUGUUAUUUGAUGACUCGUUCGGCACCUUUCGAGAAAUCAAAGUGCUUGGGCUCCAGGGGGAGUAUGGUCGCAAGGCUGAAACUUAAAGAAAUUGACGGAAGGGCACCACCAGGGGUGGAGCCUGCGGCUUAAUUUGACUCAACACGGGGAAACUCACCAGGUCCAGACACUGUGAGGAUUGACAGAUUGAGAGCUCUUUCUUGAUUCAGUGGGUGGUGGUGCAUGGCCGUUCUUAGUUGGUGGAGUGAUUUGUCUGCCUAAUCGCGAUAACGAACGAGACCUUGACCACUAAAUAGCCCGUACUGCCUCGGCAGUUCGCUGGCUUCUUAGUGGGACUAUCGG
rnacentral:rRNA from 1 species